AUGAAAUUUUAUUUUCCACAGAUGGUUGGUAAAGGCUUUUUCCUAAUUCAGACAAAAGAAGUGUCCAUGAAAGCUGAGGAUGCAACAAGGGUUUUUCAGAACAAAGCACCUGACUACCUUCCCCUUCUAAGUAAAGGUCCUGUGAUCGCCUUGGAGUUCAAUGGAGAUGGUGUUGUGGAAGAAUGUCAGCUUACUAUAAAUAAGACAUUCAAUGGGACCAAGAUGUUUGUAUCAGAAAACAAGGAGACCGCAUCUGAAGAUGUAGACAACUUCUACAACUUUGUUGAUAUACAGAUGGGAAUAUGAACUGCAAAUGUGGAAAGAAGGAUUUGGUUCUACACAUACAACAUUUGGAGCACCGGGAAAAACAGAAAUUGCAAGACAAUAAUAAAAUUCUUACUGGGUAAUUCUUGGUGUCUAAAAUUUGUUUUACUCAUUUAUAAGGGAUAUAUUUAAUUGUUAUCUAUAGAAAGAGAAUGUAUUAUAAUUAUGAUAUGAUUAGUUCUUCAAAACCCAUUCUAUAAAAUAGUUUAAAAGUUUUAACACUCAAAAAGCCAACCUUCGUGUAAAUUAUACAGAUAUGCCGUAGUGUGAUCUGGAAUAUCCCAUCCCCCCAAAGCUUGUGUGUUAAAAGACAGGUUGCCAGCCUGUGGUGCUGUGGGGGAGGCAAUGGAACUUUCAGCAAGUGAAGAGGUAGGAGAAGAAAGUUAGAUCACUGGAGAUGUGCCCUUGAAGGGGAUAUGGGAAUCCUGGUCCCUUCCACCCUCCCCUGACCACUAUGAGGUGAGCAGUUUGCUCUGCCAUGCACCUGCCCCCCAUGAUGUACUUCCUCAUCACAGGCUUAAAAGCAACAGGCCAUUUGACCAGGAAAUGAAACCCAGAGCCAAAAUAAACCUUUCCUCUUUAAAAGAUGGUUUAUCUCAGGUAUUUGCUUCAGGGACCAAAACCUAAGUAAGAGAAAAUGAAAACCUUUUUUCAUAAAAAUGGAGUCACUGUUAACUUGUUUUUCUCUUUGGGUAGAUUGAAUGUUUGAGGGGUGGUAUGGAAAUAAGCCUUUAUAAUACUUUGUGUCAUUCCUUAUGUGACAUUUUGGUGUUUAGUGGCAAGCUUCAGCAAGAUGCUCAGAAAUGGUGAUUUCUUUUUUCCCUUCCUGGUGAUUCAGUGCUUUCCUGGUGAAGGCCGGUUCUCAUCUAGAAACAGCAUAGGUGACAGAGAGCCCCCAGAAUUCUUGCUUAAGCUUCCAUCCUCCCCCUGGGGCCUGUCUCCACUGCUUCAAUUUCAUCUGGUCCACUUGUAAUUGGACUAAUGAGCAUUAACUUGCAAAUUGUGUGACAAGUAAUUAACCAAUAUUUGUAAAGUGCCUUAAAAAUGAAAAAUACUUUAUAAAUGUUAAGUAUUGUGCUGUGCAAAGUGAGUAUGAUGUUCUUUUAAAGUAGUUCAUCCGUAAAGUCACACACCUGGCUGUGUAUUCAUAGACAGCUGAAUAGGAAAAAAACAGGCUUAAGAGGUUGUUAAGGCUUAAGUGCUGUUUGCUUAGUGAUUGAUGUACUUUCAUUUAACAAAUGUAGGUCAGUUUGUUAGUCUCAUUAAUAGAACAUUUUAUACUAUUUCACCCUAACUUGUAACCAGAUCUUAUAUUAAGUGAUUUUAUAAUUUAUCUCAUUAGAGUCAUCUAGUUUCAGGGCUAUGAAGGGUCUAACACAGCCUAAUUAGUUUGAAUUCCUAAUUUCCUUCCCUUCCUGGUGAUUCAGUGCUUUCCUGGUGAGGGCCGGUUCUCAUCGAGAAACAGUCAGCAUAGGUGAUACAGAGCCCUAUGCUGGUUUUUUUGUUUCUUGAGAUAGGGUCUCACUAUGUAGUUCAUGCUGGCCUUGAACUCAUGGUGAUUCUCCUGCCUCAGCCUCCCAAGUGCUGGGAUUACAGGUGUGCCAUCACACCUGGCUUAAUCUCUAAUUUUGAAAAUGAGAAAGAAAUUGAAAGUUAGAAAGUUUAGAUGGCCUGUCCAGUUAUACUGAACUACAGAACAGGCCUCUUCACUUUUCCCUGAGAUUACAAAAACAAGACUCAGCUCAUCUGUCUCUAUGUGAAGCUUUUUCUAAUACGCAUAGGUAGAAAGGCCCUGCUUGGGGCUCACACAGUACUCCAUAUAGAUUUCCAAGUACUUGUAACACUUUAUUCCAAUUCUUUAUCCAUGCCUUUCUUGCCACUCAAACUGUGAUCUGUGGACCAGCAGCAUCAGUUUUACCUAGAAACUGGUUAGAAUCUCAAGCUCCACUCCAGAUCUGGUGAACAAGCAUCUACUAAUGCAUAUUCAGGGAAUAACCAGGGGUUAACAUGCACACUAAAGUCUGGGAACUUGUGCUGCACUGUUAGAAUCGAACUCUAGAAUCAACAGUUAGAAAUAUGUAUAUUCUUGGAGUUCCUCAGAGUCUAGUAAUGUGAUUUAUGUUUUAAUAACUGUUUUUGAUUGAAUGAUUCACAAGCCAGUGCUUCAUUCUGCUAGAUCAGACUUUAGUCUGAUGUGCAAUUCCUCCCUUUGUGUACUCUCCUUGAUUGCUUCUGAAAUAAAAAUAUUCUGUAAUA
rnacentral:lncRNA from 1 species